rnacentral:rRNA from 1 species
CCUACGGGAGGCAGCAGUGGGGAAUAUUGCACAAUGGGCGCAAGCCUGAUGCAGCAACGCCGCGUGAGGGACGACGGCCUUCGGGUUGUAAACCUCUUUUAGUAGGGAAGAAGCGAAAGUGACGGUACCUGCAGAAAAAGCACCGGCUAACUACGUGCCAGCAGCCGCGGUAAUACGUAGGGUGCAAGCGUUAUCCGGAAUUAUUGGGCGUAAAGAGCUCGUAGGCGGUUUGUCGCGUCUGCUGUGAAAACUGGAGGCUCAACCUCCAGCCUGCAGUGGGUACGGGCAGACUAGAGUGCGGUAGGGGAGAUUGGAAUUCCUGGUGUAGCGGUGGAAUGCGCAGAUAUCAGGAGGAACACCGAUGGCGAAGGCAGAUCUCUGGGCCGUAACUGACGCUGAGGAGCGAAAGCAUGGGGAGCGAACAGGAUUAGAUACCCUGGUAGUCCAUGCCGUAAACGUUGGGAACUAGAUGUAGGGACCAUUCCACGGUUUCUGUGUCGCAGCUAACGCAUUAAGUUCCCCGCCUGGGGAGUACGGCCGCAAGGCUAAAACUUAAUGAAUUGACGG